AGGCGGAGGCUCCGCGACUGAGCCACCCAGGUGCCCCGGGGCCACGGGCAUCUUGUCCAGACUGGGUCUUCCCACUGAUGAGCCGCGUAUGUGACUUCUUUGAUCUUCCUUGAACUCCCAGCAAUGACUUGUACGUUUCAGUGGACACACCCUGGACACCUUCUGCCAGAUUUGUCUCCGACUGUUUAUAUUUUUGGAACGAUUGCAAAUUACACUUAAAAUCUUUUUAAAUUUCUGAUUGUGGCUAUUACAUAGAAGACAGUUGAUUUUUAUACACUGGUGUUUGUCCCACAAACUCGUUAAACUCACUUGUAUGUUCUAGAAGGUUUAUUUUGUAGGUUCUGUUACAUUUUCUGCGUGGAUGACCGCUGCUAUUUAAAUAACGUAAAGGCAGCUCCGUUUCCUCCUUUCCAAUCUGAGGGUGUCUUCCCCUUUCACUUCUUGCGCUGGCUCAGACUCGCGCGGCGAACGGAGGGGAAGAGGUGGGACCAUCCCUCGUCCCCCUCCUGGUCCUCCGGGAAAGCUGCGGGUCUUCCCAUCACGCUGAGGAUGGGCUUGGCCGUGGGUCUUCCACAGACACCCGUUACCAGGGCGAGGAAAGCCCCUUCUUUCCCUAGUUUGCGGAGUGUUUGGUUCGGGAAUGGAUGCUGACCUUACCGAAUGCUUUUCUCUGCCUCUAUUUUGAGAUAAUCAUAACAUUUUCCUCCUUCUAGUUUGUUAACACGGUGAGCUCUAUCGAUUGAUUUUCAAAUGUGAAAUCAAACUUUCAUUCCUGAGAAAAAUCGCGCCGGGUCAGACAGAUCAUCCCCUCGGGUCUGUCCUCGCUGACACUCGGGGAAGGAUCUUCGCGCCCAUGUUCCCGGGGGGUUAUUGGCCUGUAGUUUCCUUUUUCUUGUAACGUCUUUGCCUGGUUUUCACGCCAGGGCGAUCGAGGCAGGCCUCCUCCGCAAGCUGGCAAGUGCUAUCUCCCCUUCAGUUUUCCGAAAAGGCUUGUGUACUGUUGGUGGUAUUUCUUCCUUCAGGGCUGGGUAGAAUUCACCUGUGAAGCCCUCUGGGCCUGGGCUUACUCUGUGGGGUGGUUUCUCCAUGCUGUUUUGAUGGGUCCAGGCAGAUUUUUUUAAAAAAGAUUUUACUUAUUUAUUCACGAGAGACAGCGAGGCAGAGAGAGAGAAGCAGGCUCCCCGUGGCGCAGGGAGCCCGAUGGGGGACUCGAUCCCAGGACCUCCCGAGACCAUGAACUGAGCCGAAACCGAGUCCGACGCUUCACCGACUGAGGCCCCCAGGUGCCCCCAUAUGUACAGAUCUUUUCAGUGGUGCAGAAACUUCCUCCUCCCCUUUUCCCUCUCUGAGCCCGGUCUCCAGAGGCAAGCACGUCGCGGGCCCUUAGCUCAUUCUGGCCAUUGCUUCCAGAUGACACACUUGCUCACUCGCUCAUUUGACAAAUAUUUGCUGAGGGCCGGCCUCUGCGUGGGGGACCUAUUGCAGGCUCCUGUGAAACUUCAUGAACGAGACAAAGGGCCCUGCCCGCCCGGAGCUUCGUCCUGGGGUGGACAUAAUUCCAGCGGACAGACACACAGAGGACAUCGUGAAUAGCAGGUGCUCCCUGGUGCUCCCACCCCCAUACGUGACUGGCCCUCUGGGCUUCAGGUUCUGUCCAUAAGGGAGCAGACUGAACGGAUGACAGAAGGUUCUUCCAGCUCUGGAAUGCAUUCUGUAACUCUAGACAAGUCCGACCGUCAUGGCUUCUUUCCCAGGGCAGGCAAGGAAUAGAAACAGAGAGGGCGAGUGGUUUUCUCCGGGCCACACAGCAGGUCAGUACAAACAACGCGGCAAAGUCCGUCAGCACGUAGCGGUAAAGACAUAACGUCUCCACGUGUCAGGGUAUCCAGGAAGAAUUCUUAGAACUGGAAUUGUUGGCUCGAAGAGACGGAUCAAGCUUCAUAACUUGGUCAGAAGCUGAAAAAAUGUUCCCCCCGAAGUUCACUGAUGUAUGCGCACCAGAGCUUCGUGUGCCCCCUAAACGGUGUGUGAUCAGAGUUUCUGAUCUUUUUACUAAGCUUUAAAUAAAAAAGCUAAAAAUUGUAUUUCAGGAUAGUUUGCAUUUAUGAAAAAAAAAAACAUGAGUAACAAAAGAAUCAAUAAUUUGGACCUCGUCAGAAUUAGACACUUUUGUACAUCAGAGGACAUUAUCCCGAAA